GCAGGGCCUGCUCCGUCUCAAACCUGGAGACAGAACAGCAGUGACCAAGGAUGCUGAGAUCACAUCUGGUCUGGGCAGAGCCCCUUGGCUGCUGCUUAUAUCAUGCACUGUGCACAGUGUCACAGCUGGCAAAGCAGUGUCACUUGAACCCACAGCACAGCCUUGCCUUGACAUUAUUGUGCCUUAGUACUGCUCUGGUGUUUGCUGAGCUGCUUGCAUGGAAGGUGAAAGCACAGCAGAAGCCCAGUGCUCACACAAGCAACAGUGAAGUUAUGGAGUGCCUACAGGAUUUAGGUAACUGGCUGCUUUGGAAAUCACAUCUUCAUUUUGAAGGCUUUGUUUCCAAGCUGCCUUUCUGGGUCUGGGAUGGGAAUUUUCUCCCACUUUUCACCAAAAACCUCUGCAGACCUUGUUCCUUUUUUCCAGGAGAUGUGACUUACUUGGUCCUGAAGUCAUCAGCUGUCAGCCUGGCAUUGUCAAUCUGCAGCAGGAGGUUGGCAUUGUCAACGGUGGCUCCCAGGACCUGGCAGGGGAAGGAUGAAAAGAAAGCACUGGAUGAGCAUCAGAACCCCAGGGAGCAGCACACACUGAGGCUGUGGGGACAGGGACAGUUCUGGGGCAGCCUGGGGCCUUCCAAAACCUCUGUGACCUCAGUUUCCAACAUUCCAUCACUACGUAUUUCAAAAGGCAGCACAGGAGUCAUUUCAGAUGUGAGAUGAGAUAAAGCACUGGUUCCCAUGCCUCAGGGCACAGGGUGGUUAUGCAAGGGUCAAGCAGGAAUCACCGCUCCCACCCCAGCACACAGCAGCUCUGCUGGUAGGCCGGCAGGAGCGAAGAAUGCGUGCUGGGAGAAGACUGGAGGCAGAGUUUGGGAGGACAUGAGCUCUGGUGCAAAGGAGACAGAGAGGAAGGGUUUUCCCUGCAUCCCAUGCCAGCAUCCCUGCAUCUCUGCUGCGCGCGGCCUUCCCUGGUGACUGUUUACAAAAACCACCUUCAUGUUUACAAAUCUCACAUCAGUGUUUACAGAUAUCACCGCAGUGCUUCACAGUUUGCAGACACCUACAGCUUUCCCAAGUACUGGCUUUAAAGUCUCAAGAAAAAGGCACACUAUCAAAGCAGGUUCAUCCCUAA